rnacentral:rRNA from 1 species
UACGUAAGGACCGAGCGUUGUCCGGAAUCAUUGGGCGUAAAGGGCGCGUAGGUGGUUACUUAAGUCGGAUGUGAAAGCCCCGGGCUUAACCUGGGAAUUGCAUUUGAUACUGGGUGACUAGAAUGUGGUAGAGGGUAGCGGAAUUUCUGGUGUAGCGGUGAAAUGCGUAGAUAUCAGAAGGAACAUCAAUGGCGAAGGCAGCUACCUGGGCCAACAUUGACGCUGAGGCGCGAAAGCGUGGGGAGCAAACAGG